rnacentral:rRNA from 1 species
GAUGAACGCUGGCGGCGUGCCUAAUACAUGCAAGUCGAGCGAACGGACGAGAAGCUUGCUUCUCUGAUGUUAGCGGCGGACGGGUGAGUAACACGUGGAUAACCUACCUAUAAGACUGGGAUAACUUCGGGAAACCGGAGCUAAUACCGGAUAAUAUUUUGAACCGCAUGGUUCAAAAGUGAAAGACGGUCUUGCUGUCACUUAUAGAUGGAUCCGCGCUGCAUUGGCUAGUUGGUAAGGUAACGGCUUACCAAGGCAACGAUGCAUAGCCGACCUGAGAGGGUGAUCGGCCACACUGGAACUGAGACACGGUCCAGACUCCUACGGGAGGCAGCAGUAGGGAAUCUUCCGCAAUGGGCGAAAGCCUGACGGAGCAACGCCGCGUGAGUGAUGAAGGUCUUCGGAUCGUAAAACUCUGUUAUUAGGGAAGAACAUAUGUGUAAGUAACUGUGCACAUCUUGACGGUACCUAAUCAGAAAGCCACGGCCAACUACGUG